CAAAAACAUGUCUCUAUGAAACUUAAUAUAAAGUCUCACCUGCCCACUGAUUUUAAAAUAUUAAAGGGCCGCGGUAAUUUGACCGUGCGAAGGUAGCAUAAUCACUUGUCUUUUAAUUGAAGGCUAGAAUGAACGGUUGGAUGAAAAGCAGAUUGUCUUCUUCUCUGUUAAUAUAAUUUUACUUUUAAGUGAAAAGGCUUAAAUAAAAUUAAGUGAAGAUAAGACCCUAUAAAACUUUUAUAUAAAAAAUUAUAUUCUAUUUUAUAAACCGUAGAAAAUAAAAUAAUCUAAUUAUAUUUUGUUGGGGCGACAAAAAUAAAUUUAAAAACCUAUUUUCCAAAUAAACUAAUAAUAAUUAAACUGAUCCCCUCUUAGGGAUUAAAAGAACAAGUUACUUUAGGGAUAACAGCGUAAUUCUCUUUAAGAGACCUAAUCGACAAGAGUAGUUGCGACCUCGAUGUUGAAUUAAAAUUUUCUCUACUCAGAGCAGCCACUGAUGUAGUAAGUCUGUUCGACUUUUAAAAUUUUACAUGAUUUGAGUUCAAACCGGUGUAAGCCAGG
rnacentral:rRNA from 1 species